GAUGAACGCUGGCGGCGUGCUUAACACAUGCAAGUCGAACGGAAAGGCCCAAGCUUUCUUGGGUUCUCGAUUGGCGAACGGGUGAGUAACACGUGUGUGAUCUGCCCUUCACUUCGGGAUAAGCCUGGGAAACUGGGUCUAAUACCGGAUAGGACCUCAUUUUGCAUGGUGUGGUGUAAAGUUUUUCGGUGUGGGUUGAGCUCGGGGCCUAUCAGCUUGUUGGUGGGGUAAUGGCGUACCAAGCCGUCGACGGGGAGCCGGCCUGAUAGGGGGGAGGGCCGGAUUGGGAGUGGAAUAGGGCCCAGAGUACUAAAGGGGGCAGCAGUGGGGAAAAUUGGACAAUGGGAGGAAGCCUGAUGGAGCGAGGACGCGUGGGGGAAGACGGCCGUCGGGUUGUAAAAACAAAUGGCUAGGGAAGAAGAGUUUUUGUGACGGUACCUGGAGAAGAAGCACCGGCUAACUACGUG
rnacentral:rRNA from 1 species